rnacentral:rRNA from 1 species
ACGAACGCUGGCGGCGUGCCUAAUACAUGCAAGUCGAACGGUCUUUCUAUGGAAGCUUGCUUCCACUGAGAAGAUAGUGGCGAACGGGUGAGUAACACGUGGGUAACCUGCCCAUAAGAGGGGGAUAACAUCCGGAAACGGGUGCUAAUACCGCAUAGUUUUCUUGAUCGCAUGAUUGAGAAAGGAAAGAUGGCCUUUGUGCUGUCGCUUAUGGAUGGACCCGCGGCGUAUUAGUUAGUUGGUGAGGUAACAGCUCACCAAGACGAUGAUACGUAGCCGACCUGAGAGGGUGAUCGGCCACAUUGGGGCUGAGACACGGCCCAAACUCCUACGGGAGGCAGCAGUAGGGAAUCUUCCGCAAUGGACGAAAGUCUGACGGAGCAACGCCGCGUGAGUGAAAGAAGGUUUUCGGGUCGUAAAACUCUGUUGUCAGAGAAGAACAAGUUGGAGAGUAACUGCUCCAGCCUUGACGGUAUCUGACCAGAAAGCCACGGCUAACUACGUGCCAGCCGCUGC